AUUAGUGACGCAUAAAAAUUAUUGAUAAUAAGAAAUAUUAUUUUUAUGAACAAUAUAUAUUAUUGUUAAAUGUGAUAAAAAAGUAUCGCAUAAUGUUAGCGUGACGUCUCUGGGUUAGCGGGUUGAUGUCGAAUAAAAUGAAGACUUACACGCGGUCGUACUAUGUGUAUAUGGCAGAUACGUAUACGAGAAGUGAUUGUCAGAAGUGACACGGCACGGGGGAGUAAAUCACGUCGGCAUUAAGACAAUUAGGUGUAGAACGACGGGUUCAGCCGAGUCAGUUGACGUGUCUUGGACAGAAACAGAUGUCUAAUAUGCCUUUUAUUUCGACUCCAUGGUCAGCCAUACAUGCACAUAUAAGUUAAACACUUAUUCGAACCACAGGACGUACGUAGGAUAAAUGCAUGGGCGUCGAUACAGAGCAUUAGAAAUGAGGAAUAAUGUGACACAUAUUAUAAUCAUGUUGCAUUUCACGAAUAAAUCGCUAGCGACAACCAUGUGCAUAAUACUAUUGAGAGAGUGUGCGUGUGUGCAAAAGUCUGCCCGUACUGCGGUCGUGCAAUUGUGCGAAGGAAAUGAGAUCAAGUUUGAGUGAUUGCGGACAGCAGUCGAACAGAGGCGGAGAGAGGCAGGGAAUGGAGAUAGGACAGUUCAAGAACCGAAUCUACAGAUUGCCAGCUGGAUAAAUUGGAACAAACGAAAUACCAGAUUUCUGCGAGUAUCAAAUACCAUCGUUUAUAAUUAUUGAUACUUAAAAUAUAAAAAUAUAUUA